rnacentral:ncRNA from 1 species
UGUGAACAUCACUUGGACAUGGUCAGUUAGUCGAUCCUAAGAGAUGGGGAAUCCUUGUAUCAAGGGUGCACUCUGCAUGAACAUCGAAAGAGAAUUGGGUUAAUAUUCUCAAACCCGGACAUGGUGGUGGACGACAAUGUUAGGAAAUCUAGAGAUGUCAUCAGGGGCCUGGGAAGAGUUAUCUUUUCUUUUUAACGACUUUCCCACCCUGAAAUCGAUUCAAUCAGAGAUAGGGUCCAACAUAUGGAAGAGAACCACAUGUCUUGUGGUGUUUGGUGCCCCCUCGACGACCAUUGAAAAUAUGGAGAAUCGAGUACCAUCCAUGCCCGAUCAUACUCAUAUCUGCCUCCUUGGUUU